rnacentral:rRNA from 1 species
AGCGAACGCUGGCGGCAGGCCUAACACAUGCAAGUCGAGCGGCCGUAGCAAUACGGCAGCGGCAGACGGGAGAGUAACACGUGGGAACGCGCCCUUCGGUUCGGGAUAACCCAGGGAAACUUGGGCUAAUACCGGAUACGCCCUUACGGGGAAAGAUUUAUUGCCGAAGGAACGGCCCGCGUCCGAUUAGCUAGUUGGUGAGGUAACGGCUCACCAAGGCGACGAUCGGUAGCUGGUCUGAGAGGAUGACCAGCCUCACUGGGACUGAGACACGGCCCAGACUCCUACGGGAGGCAGCAGUGGGGAAUAUUGGGCAAUGGGCGCAAGCCUGAUCCAGCCAUGCCGCGUGGGUGAUGAAGGCCCUAGGGUUGUAAAGCCCUUUCAGCGGGGAAGAUAAUGACGGUACCCGCAGAAGAAGCCCCGGCUAACUUCGUGCCAGCCGCCGCUGUAAAAC